rnacentral:rRNA from 1 species
CAGCGCCACGAGUGGCAUACACAUUUAUUGGGCCUAAAGCGUCCGUAGCCGGUCAGGUAAAUCCUUUGUGAAAUCAUAGAGCUUAACUCUAUGGCGUGCAGAGGACACUGCUUGACUUGGAACCGGGAGGAGUCAGAGGUAUUCUGGGGGGAGCGGUAAAAUGCUAUAAUCCCCAGAGGACCACCUGUGGCGAAGGCGUCUGACUAGAACGGAUUCGACGGUGAGGGACGAAGGCCAGGGGAGCGAACCGGAUUAGAUACCCGAGUAGUCC